CCCAGAUCGUUAUCAGAUUCAUUUUCUCACCUCUCAACUCGAGUUCCGAACCUCAUAACCAGUUGAGCUCUCGUCGAGACAACACAGCUGAGAGGAAUCAUAGGGUGGUCACCUGAGAGGAAUCAAUCAUAGCAUAAUCAUCUACACCUGUAUCCUGCUAUCUACACCUGUAGCCUGCUAUCUACACUCGAGGAGAUUCACGCACCAUCAAGCACUACAUUAUCAUGCCGAGGGAACGCAGACUUCGUGGGAUCAAUUCCGCAGCAGUCCGUCAUCGCAUCAGCCUCGAUGAGGAGGAUAUCGACAUCACCAGCGUGCUCGAGAGCUCGAAACGUCGAGUUUUCGAUAUAAUUAGGGAACAUGCCGCACGCUAUGAUGGCAAUGUUAAAUGGUUCAUCGUCCUCAACGUUUUGCUGUAUAAAUUAGUGGUGAUGGAUGACAAGCAGGUUGGUGACUCUGUCUCAUCUCUAAUAAAUCUACAUAGUUACUCCAACAUAGCACUAAAUGUGCUUGAGAACUAUGAAGAGUUUAAUGAGCAUUUCAUGUUAGCCGUGAGAAAAAUUCUCUCAUCUUUUGAAAAUUUUGUAAGAUAUGGGAGUGGAUGGGUGCUAAAGAAAAUUGAAUCACUGGAUGUGAACGUGAUUAAAUUUAAUCCUAUAUACACAUCCAGUUUCAU